GACGAACGCUGGCGGCGUGCUUAACACAUGCAAGUCGAACGGAAAGGCCCUGCUUUUGUGGGGUGCUCGAGUGGCGAACGGGUGAGUAACACGUGAGUAACCUGCCCUUGACUUUGGGAUAACUUCAGGAAACUGGGGCUAAUACCGGAUAGGAGCUCCUGCUGCAUGGUGGGGGUUGGAAAGUUUCGGCGGUUGGGGAUGGACUCGCGGCUUAUCAGCUUGUUGGUGGGGUAGUGGCUUACCAGGGCUUUGACGGGUAGCCGGCCUGAGAGGGUGACCGGCCACAUGGGCACUGAGAUACGGCCCAGACGCCUACGGGAGGCAGCAGUGGAGAAUAUAGCACAAUGGGCGGAGGCCUGAUGCAGCAACGCCGGGUGCGGGAGGACGGCCUUCGGGUUGUAAACCGCUUUCGCGUGUGACGACGCGUGAGUGACGGUAAUGGGUAAAGAAGCACCGGCUAACUACGU
rnacentral:rRNA from 1 species